rnacentral:rRNA from 1 species
CGGGACGGGGUGGAGUAAUGUCUGGGAAACUGCCUGAUGGAGGGGGGUAACUACUGGAAACGGUAGCUAAUACCGCAUAACGUCGCAAGACCAAGAGGGGGACCUUCGGGCCUCUUGCCAUCGGAUGUGCCCAGAUGGGAUUAGCUAGUAGGUGGGGUAACGGCUCACCUAGGCGACGAUCCCUAGCUGGUCUGAGAGGAUGACCAGCCACACUGGAACUGAGACACGGUCCAG